ensembl:lncRNA
CUUUGACUCAGGAAUGCUGGAGCUCUUUCUUCACUCUAUAAACACCUGUGUGAAGGGGAAGUUUGAGUGGAUGAGGGCUGUUGUGCAGGGCUGCACCACAACCGCCCAUCAGUUGCCCUGCUGUGUCCGAGCUGAGCACACCACAUCUCCACCUGGGGAAGAAGAAGACAGAAGAGUGUUCACACAGAGAUGCUGCUCCUGGCCCUGGUCCUGGCACUGCUGCCCUGCUCUGCUCAGGGCUUGGCUGUGCCUGUGAUCAAGCUGAACUCCACGACCCUGCGUGAGCAUGAAGUGGUGCUGACCUCAGGAACGUCCUUCAUGCUGAGCUGUGAGGGACAGGCUGGAGUCUUCUGGAAGACCAGGCUCAGCCAGCACAGGAAGAAAACUCUCACUGUUAGGCAUGCCACUGCAGACUACACGGGAACAUAUAGGUGUAGUUACAAGAAUCAAACCAACCUGUACUCCCAGAUUCACAUCUAUGUUAAAGAUCCAGGCCAACCCUUCACUACUCCUCGGUCCAGCGUUGUAGUAGAGCGGGAAGGCUCGGACUGCCUGCUGGAUUGUAUGCCUACAGACCCUGGUGCCACAGACUUCUCCCUCUGCUUGGCCAACCGAUCCACUGUUCCUCUGGAGAUGAAGUAUACUGCCAAUCCCACAGAGGGCAUCUGGAUCCGAGACCUGCGCCCCCACUAUAGUGGCGACUAUGUCUGUACCGUGAAUCUAAACUCACUCCAGAGGGUGUCUGUAGUCUUCCAAAUCACCGUCAUCGAAAGAGUGAAGCUCCCUCCCUCUGUGUUUACUGAAGUGGGGGAGUUGGUUCGCAUCGUUGGGGAAAGUCUGCAGAUCAGCUGCUAUGUCACAAAUCCAGACCAUUCCUACCAUGUCACAUGGCAGCAUUCAUCCAAGAAGAAACUUCACGCCAACAACACGGUGAAUAGUAGCAGGAACCCAGUUCUCAUCACGAGUGUUUUGACUCUCUGUGACGUCAGCAUGUCUGACAGUGGGAACCUGAGCUGUAUAGGCAACAACUCAGCAGGAGAGAACCGUUCCACAGUCUCUCUCAGAGUAGUAGAUAAACCGUACGCUCACCUGACGCCUGCGCAGACGUCCAGAGUUCUGCGGCAAGGUCUUGUGCGAGUGCUGCAGGAAGGAGAUCUGCUGAAGCUGGCGGUGUGUGUGGAUGCAUACCCUGCACUUCAGCACAGCUGGUGGGACACACCCAGAGCCCAGAACAAGUCCACUACAGAGCAAACCUUCUACAGGGUUCAGAAGAGGUUUGGUGGCAGAUCAUAUUGCCACACACUGUCUAUGUUGAAUGUGUCUCCAGAGAAACCCAGUGUUGUGAUUAAAUGGCGGAAUGGAUCCCUCGCUUGUGCUGCCUCUGGGUAUCCCGAACCAAAGAUCCACUGGCGCCGAUAUAUUGGUACUACGAUGCCUGAACACUGGUUUUCAAGGAUAUACACGGCUAUCUUCAUCGGAAGCUCAAUGGUGACCACUCUCCUGGUACUGGUGCUGGGAGUUUGUAUCUGCAGGUGGAAACAGGUAUUCCUGGUUCUUCUAACAACAGGGUUAGGGAUAGUUAACCUUUUGUCAUUAUCAUUUGUCCAGCAAGCUAACAGUGUUUUUGGAUUUUUACAGAAACCCAGAUAUGAAAUCAGAUGGAAAAUCAUAGAAGUUAAUGAUGGGAAUAAUUACACAUACAUUGACCCUUCUCAGCUUCCAUACAACACAAAGUGGGAAUUCCCCCGUGACAGGCUGAGAUUUGGACGGGUCCUGGGAGCAGGGGCCUUUGGGAAAGUUGUAGAGGCCACAACCUACGGUCUGGACGAUGAGGAACGUGUCACUCGCGUGGCCGUGAAAAUUACACAGCUAAAGGAAAAGGCGAGCGCUCAUGCAGAAGAACGUGAAGCCCUCAUGUCAGAGCUGAAGAUCCUGAGUCAUCUGGGGCCGCACGCCAACAUCGUGAACCUCCUUGGAGCAUGCACCCACGGAGGACCUGUGCUGCUUAUAACAGAGUACUGCUGUAACGGUGACCUGCUGAACUUCCUGCGGAGAAGAGCCCAGCUUCUACUCUUCCUCUACAGUCUACUCUUCCUCUACAGUCUACUCUUCCUCUACAGUCUACUCUUCUUCUACAGUCUACUCUUCCUCUACAGCUAUCAGGACAUGCGUCCCGCAUGCAGACCCAAGGACGCCGCCGCAGGAUCCUGUAAUGGAGGAGGGAAUGGUUUAGACAUGGACUGUUUGCUGAGAUUUGCUGGUCAGGUGGCCCAAGGAAUGGAUUUCCUUGCAUCCAAAAAGUGUAUUCACAGGGAUCUGGCUGCGAGGAACGUCCUCGUGACUGACUGCUUUAUUGCCAAGAUCUGUGACUUUGGCCUUGCACGAGACAUCAUGAAUGACUCCAAUUACGUCGUGAGAGGAAAUGCCCGGCUGCCAGUUAAGUGGAUGUCUCCUGAGAGCAUAUUUGAGUGUGUCUACACUGUGCAGAGUGAUGUAUGGUCCUAUGGAAUCCUACUAUGGGAGAUCUUUUCUCUUGGUAGAAGUCCUUACCCAGAUGUGGUGGUUGACACACGAUUCUAUGAAAUGAUCAAAAGCGGAUAUCACAUGUCACAACCAGAUUUUGCCCCUAAAGAGAUGUACACCAUAAUGAAGCAAUGCUGGAGUCUGGAGCCAAACCUGCGGCCGCCCUUCAGCCGAGUCCUGCAGCUUAUCACAAAGCUCCAGCCAGAGAUGCAGGACUCCAACACUGACCAACAGUAUAAGAACUUGCGCAAGGAGCUGCAGCAAAAGCUCACAUCAAUGCAGGGUGUCUUUGCCCAAGACCGUGAGGACCCAUGUUACCAAACACCAUGCCAUGAGGAACAUGAGGACCCAUGUUACCAAACACCAUGCCAUGAGGAAAAUGAAGACCUGUGUCACCAAACACCAUGCCAUGAGGAAAAUGAAGACCUGUGUCACCAAACACCAUGCCAUGAGGAAAAUGAAGACCUGUGUCACCAAACAUCGUGCCAUGAGGAACAUGAAGACCUGUGUCACCAAACACCAUGCCAUGAAAACGCUCAGCUUCUAACAAAGCCAGAAUAUUACCAGCUGUGCUGACAGCCUACUGGACUGAGAGCCUGAUGAACUUACAUGAAAGUAUUAGAAAGCUGAUUUAUUUGCGUUUUACACCACUGGAGUGAAAUGUUUUUCAUAAUUAUGAGCUGUUCUCAUAAAGAUUUUAUUUGGGUCAAACUGCUAUUAACUUCAGACAAUGAACCGCAGAAUAACAUUUUGAGAACUAAAUAACAUCUUACAUACCUAUUUGUGAAUAUUAUAUCAUGAAUAUAUUGUGGGUAAAUGUUUCACAGACGGUUAUAUAACAGAUGUUCACUUUCCAGCUGAAUUUCAGCAGUGAUGCUCAUUCCAAUGUUUGUGACACAACAGAUAGUCCACAUUUUUGCUUUGUUAAGAUGCACGGUAGAGCUGGUGGAGGCUUGAUAUGGGCUGGAUCAAACACAUGGCCUAAGGACUGGGCUUCUGUCCUGCUGUAGAUUACAUUACUGCUUUUCUAAGGUAAAUUAUUCAAUUGUAAUAUUUAGUUUUAUAAACUUUAAAUGGCAAGGAUGGUAGAAAUGGUAAAAGCAUAGAAUAUCUGCAGAACAGUGUGCUAUGCUGUCACUUGUAGGAAUGCAUUAAACGUCUAUUCAUAAGCACACCCUAAAAGUAAUGUCUUUCAUCUUUCAGACCAAAAUUACAUUACUAUAUAACAAUUUCGUGGACAUUCUAGUGUAUCUUAUUUUAUAGUGUAUUUUCCUUUGGUCUUGGAUAUGUGUAUAAUGUGUGGAUAUGUGCUGUAGGUCCUGCAGUGCUUGUACAAACUGUUACUUGAAAUUCUGAUUAAAGCAUAGUACUGCUCUGGGUUUGUUCUUAUGUUUAAUAAUUAAUUCGUAUAAAUAACUGUUCAGCC